rnacentral:rRNA from 1 species
GAGGGGGCAAGCGUUGCUCGGAAUCACUGGGCGUAAAGGGCGCGUAGGCGGGAUGGCAAGUCGGUCGUGAAAUCCUUCGGCUCAACCGAAGAACGUCGGCCGAUACUGCCGUUCUUGAGGGAUGCAGAGGAGAUUGGAAUUCCCGGUGUAGCGGUGAAAUGUGUAGAGAUCGGGAGGAACACCGGUGGCGAAGGCGGGUCUCUGGGCAUCUCCUGACGCUGAGGCGCGAAAGCGUGGGGAGCAAACGGG